CCCGCCCGGCUUCGCAGGUGGCAUUCCUCGCAUCCCUCGCCAAGUCCGAGAGCCGGACGCCAGCGUGUGUUUGUGGUCCGAGGCCCCCCAGCUUCCUCCCUGAGUGAGAGUGUUCUCCCCCGCGCCCCCAUUCCGCCCCCAGGCCUCGCCCCCAACCCUCUCCCUCAGGGUCCCUGGUGCCGCGAGGUGGGGAGGAGUGGCUGGCCCCACAGGGCGGACUUACUCCUUCCACCAACACUGUUCCCUCCAGAAGGACCCCUGAGGGCCGGCGGCUGUGCUGAGAGCGCCCCAACCGUGUCUUCCAGGCGGCAGCCUGCUGAGACCCCUCAGAUACCUGGCCAGUGCGCAGCACCCCCGCCCAGGACAGCAGUGCUCUGACGUCGCCUCCCGCCUUCACCUUGGGCCCCUGGAGGCUGCUGCCAUCUCCCACGCGCUCCUCACUGGGAGAAGUCGCCCACCACCCCAAGGGGGAGGCCACAGCCUCUCAGCCUCCGGAGCUGAAUCGUGAUAGUGAUUCUUGGGUCUGAUCAUGGUUGGGGUGGAUAGCAGAUUGUUUUCCGUAACACUACUGGCGGCACUACUGACUUUCCCUUUCUGGCAAGCACCAGUGAGUGGACCGUCCGGGGUGGACCUUUGUAGCUGCCUCCGAAAGACUAUGCGGGACACGGUGCUGCCUGGCUUCUGAGGUUCUGAGGGUGGCUCCUCCUGAUUCUUGUUUCAGAACACUUGCCCUGGUGUUAAAAUCAAACACAACCAGAAAAAAUUCCCUGAGCAGACAAAACCAGCCAUAUAAGCAAAGCUUAAUUUAGCUUAUUUUGCAGCACAAGAAGGUCAACUUGACCUGACACAGUUCUUGCUUAUGCCUCUGAAAAUCGUAAGCAAAACUUACAUAGUUCCCUAAAACUGAUGUGAAGUGACCACUAACCAAUUCCCUUUCAUUUAAGAAAAUUCCGAUAUUAUAACCAAUCAUAAUAAAGGACACAUAGUCACUGUGCUCACACUGUGUAAGCUGCUUCAUAACAUCCUCUGAGCCUCAUUCCCUGUUUUGGUUUGAGUGGUGUGGGUUGGCAAACUGUCUUUCUGGUGUGUGCACAUAAACUUAUACUAAUUUCUAA